rnacentral:tRNA from 1 species
GGAGAGGUGCGAGAGUGGUUUAAUCGGUCGGUCUCGAAAACCGAUGUAGUCGCAAGACUACCGUGGGUUCGAAUCCCACCCUCUCCGCCC